GUCAUUUUCUCUCGUGUCACAGAAAUCACUGAUGAAAGUAAAGGGUUAAAUUUUGUAUAUCGAUCGAUAAAAAUAAUCAUUUGUAAUAUAGGGAUAAGAGGCAGUGUCUUUUGGCGUCAGUCGACAUAUGAUCCCACUUACCACUAUUUGAUAUAAUAAGAACAAACGGAAUGCAAUAGUAAAUGUUUAUUUGAUAAGUGAAAAACCACUCAUUUCCCAAAAAAUGUUUUUUUAACUGGAGGGAGGCAGUGAUUUAGUGCAAAGAUCUGUCAUAGUUUAUCUUA
rnacentral:lncRNA from 1 species